rnacentral:rRNA from 1 species
UACAGAGGGUGCGAGCGUUGUCCGGAAUCACUGGGCGUAAAGGGCGCGUAGGUGGCGCGACAAGUCAGUGGUGAAAGUUCGACGCUCAACGUCGAAUCGGCCACUGAUACUGUUGGGCUUGAGCACUGUAGAGGCUAAUGGAAUUCCGGGUGUAGCGGUGGAAUGCGUAGAGAUCCGGAAGAACACCGGUGGCGAAGGCGGCCUGCUGGGCUAUGGCUGACACUGAGGCGCGACAGCGUGGGGAGCAAACAGG